UGCUGUUAGCACUAGCCUUGAUGUAUCAAUUACAGAUGAAUGAUGACAUUCAUCUUUCACUUGAAAAUCAGUUUUGUACUCAUAAUUCCACUAUUCCUUUGCAAACCUUCUUCCUUUUUUAUACAUUGGCAGGUUGAUUCGUUAGGUUAUUGAUUAGAUUUUACUAUCAACAGUUGGGACUAAGCAUUCAGACGCAAAGGCAUUAUUAACUAAGCACAGUAACGGACUAAACUAAGUACACUUUAGUUACUGAGAUUUCUUGUUGCCCCCACAUAGCACUUUUAAGUGAAUACACAGUCUCAAGUCUAAAAUAGUCUAUCCCACAUCCCCCACUUAGACCCAAAUAUU